GACGAACGCUGGCGGCGUGCUUAACACAUGCAAGUCGAACGGAAAGGCCCUGCUUUUGUGGGGUGCUCGAGUGGCGAACGGGUGAGUAACACGUGAGUAACCUGCCCUUGACUUUGGGAUAACUUCAGGAAACUGGGGCUAAUACCGGAUAGGAGCUCCUGCUGCAUGGUGGGGGUUGGAAAGUUUCGGCGGUUGGGGAUGGACUCGCGGCUUAUCAGCUUGUUGGUGGGGUAGUGGCUUACCAAGGCUUUGACGGGUAGCCGGCCUGAGAGGGUGGCCGGCCACAUUGGGACUGAGAUACGGCCCAGACUCCUACGGGAGGCAGCAGUGGGGAAUAGUACACAAUGGGCGGAAGCCUGAUGCAGCAACGCCGCGUGCGGGAUGACGGCCUGCGGGUUGUAAACCGCUUUCGCCUGUGACGAAGCGUGAGUGACGGUAAUGGGUAAAGAAGCACCGGCUAACUACGUG
rnacentral:rRNA from 1 species